UGAGUGGCUGCCUGGAAGGCAGGAAGUGGCUCUGCAGGAAUUCUGAGGGAGACUUCCAGGGCGAGGGGGCCUGCCAGGUGGGCAAGCAAGAAAUAAGCGGGGCUGGAAGCCAUCAAAGGCAGAGAGGACCUUGGCUCCAGAUCCCAAGGAGCUCAGUAAGCCAGAGGCUGGAAGUCAGUCUCAAGCAGGCCAAGAAGGAGUUAAUCUCCAAGGAGAAUGAGGGCUUCUCCCAGACUGGAGGCCGAUGCCCAGCUUUGCUGCUGCCAACUCUGGGAAGAAGUCCUGGGAUCUGUAGUUUGUGUCACCACCCACCUCUGGCCUGCCUGUUUAUCAACACAGUCUUGGAGACUACAGUUCCCAGAAACCUGCAGAGGCCAGGCUUUGGGGGAAGGGGUGGGGUGUGAGGCUUGGUGGCAGCAGGAGGGAGAGGGAGGAGGUGGGGAGAGAAAACCCAAUUCACCCCCUUCCUUUUUAAUUCUUUCUCCUGGUGUGUCUGCUCCACCGCCCGAGCUAAUCCCCCAAAUCCGGUCUUCUAAGCCGCAGCUGCUUCCCUUCGCAGUGAUGAAUGGCUCGGGGAGGGAAGAUCUUCUCUGGUGAGCGUCCCCCCAGCCUGGCCUAGGGCAUGCCCCAGUUCACUUUCGCCUGCUUCUGUGGCCUCCACGGCUUCUGCAAGAUGAAGAGGAAGAAGGACGAAGUUCACAGAGAGCGGGAAACGGCAGUGUGAGCAGGACCAGGGCCCUUUCUUGGCCGCCAGCAGGUUCCAGGCCUGAGGGCACCCACUUCUGGCAGGACCUGCCCGGCCCUCCAGAGACCAAGAAGCCCUGCAGCGGCCUCAGGAGACAAACUUCUUUCCUGCCCUGAGGGCUCCGGGCACCCUGCUCAGGGGAACUCCCCGCCUCCAAGGGAUGUGCCGCCUUGAGCAGGGAGCAUUGCUCCGGGACAGGAAACUGGCUACGCAGCCAGAGGACCCGCCAGCCACCCUGGUCCCCGGGGACAUCUCGGGCAGCCCGGACAGGGUGGAAGUGUAAGACGAGCCUCCUCCAAACCCAGGAUGGAGUCUUUCCUGGGACCCCAGGGCCUGAGGCAGGAGCCUCUACAGAGCAGCAUCCCCAAGAGGGGAGUCCUUUCCUGUCCCCUCCCCGCAUUCUCCUGGUCCAGGUGCAGCCAGGCCCCAGGUGGGCAGCCUGGUCAUGAGUCAGACGGCAGAGUGGGGACAGUGAGGGACAGGCGAUGUCCUUGUGGCAGGAGGCCAGCCAUGAGUCCCCUCGGCACCUCCGCUCUUCCUUGCACACCAGUAGGCAGCUUUCCCUCCAGCCCUGGCCCCGUGGACCCUCUCCCACCAUACCUCCUUGUGGCAGCCAGAUAUGGGGGCCUGUUUCCCAGGCCCUGACUCCCCUUCUCAGGAACUGCCUUCCCGGGCCAGACUGUGCGACCCCCCUCCUGGACUAGACCGACUAGACUGUGUCCUCCCUCUAUUCUCCUGUCUUCCUGCUUCACCCACCUGCCUUUUCUUUCUCUUCUCAGAACCCAUAGAGAGGGAAAGGCUUGCAUGUUGUGCCUUUAGGGGACACUGGGCAGAAGGGGCCCUCUAGGACUUGCCUUGACUGUUCCCCUAAUCUUCUUGCCCCCCCCCCCCCCCCCGGUCUUCCAGGGUCAGUCUCAGCCCCUCUCUCAGCCUAUUUCCAGCUGGUAGGAAGCAAACAAAAACACAUUUCCUUCCUUCUUCCCUCCUCCCAUUUGCUAUAACAUACCUUCUGUCACUGUGCCUGAACCUCUCAGGAGCUAGAGGGUCCCACGGACAGCAAGGCCAGUGGCAGAGACACUUCAGGCGGAUUCUGUAGCUUUAGCAAGUCUGCCGUCUACAUCACUACAGAGCAAGUCAGCCCAGGAACGAAGUCAGAUCCCCUGCAACACCCAGGGCCAGAAUAACCUUUCUGACAGUUAACAGGUGGCCUGGGUAGAGGAGAUGAGGGUCCCUGGACAGAAGGAGGGGCUGUGUGCCCCCUUUCCUUGGAAUGUGCCUCUCUGGGCAGUCGGGAGGGCAGAAGAUGGCCUCUGCUGGUUCAUCCAGAGCCAGGGAGAGGCAAAGGCACAUUCCAUCCUGGCAACCUUUGCCUGCCCAGUUCAUGCCCCGUGCUCAGGGACAUUUCCUGAGCUUUCGGCAGGUUUGGUGGGAUCCAGGUCCUAUUUGUGAAGCCAGAGUGCAGCUUAUAAUUUCUUUCCUCCCGUCCUGCAACCCCCCUCCUUUGCCCCUACCACCCAGCCCCAGCCUUGUACACAAUCUGUUAUCUCCUUUUAUAUCCAAAGAAUUAUAAACAGAAGUCUUUCCCUCGAGGAAACAGCAAUAAAGGCCGGUGGGGUCACAAGGGAUGACCGCUUAGACAGUAGCAGCCUUGGAUGAGGCUCAGAGAUGCGCAGAAACGCUUUCAAGGGUACCUUGAUCCCGCGCAGUAGAGCCAGCCUGGAGGGCAUGUGUGUCCCUAGCGGUUCCCUGCGAGGCUGCAGCCCCAGAAAAGUUACUCUUGCAGUGGAGGAUGAAAUUGCAUCCCCCGGAGCCUCAGAGGUGUUGGGUGUUAGGUCCUGACCACAGAGGCUUACCCAGAGGAAAGGUCAGGAGGGGUGGUAAAGGAGAGUUUUGCCCCUGCGCACCUCUCAGGCCUUGGCAGGAAUUUCAGCUGCAAGGGUUUGGCACUGAGCCUGUUCAGAGAGCUUCUUGCCCGGAGGAGAGAACUCCUUUGGCUCCAAAGGGAUACUGGAUCUCUGGAGCCCCUGCUGUGGGGACACGGGAGAGGUCCCAAGGUCAAGGCAUCUCUGAGCGGAGGCCCAGCUACGCCUGUAGACAGCGGCCGUGGCCCCCAAGCCAGUGGCCCCACCUUCAUCAGGGUGAAGGGGGGGGCCGUGCUGAUGGGUGGGCGUAGGCCAGGCACGGCCCACGUUCUCUGUCCCUCCGCUUCCUCCUCAGGGAAAUGCUGACUUUGCUCCUCUCAGAAGCUCGAGAACCAGUCUGGAGACCUGUGCCCCCCUUCGGCCCCUAGGAGAGCCCAGAGGAGAGGUUUCAUUCAAAAAGGCAGAAGCAGCCCCAGUGUCCAGCCCACGCCCCCCCGGCCGCUGACUUGUAGUCCAGGCUUCUCUUCCUUCUGUUCUUUUUUUGAGGGAGAGAGGUCUGGCCACUUCAUUUCCUACCCGGCCCUGAGGCGCCCUCGCAGAGGACAGCUUGGACCAUUUUGCCCUGCCUGUUUCUAGUUCCCUCCACUCUGGGAUUUUCUCCCAAACUCCCCCUUGAGGAAGGGGCUGGGAGCCCCCAGGGGAGGCACAAGUAGAUGACUCUGGGAGGGGGCGGGCCGCUGGGUGGCACUGAGUCCUUGUGCCAGAGGCCAGAAGAGGCCAGUCCUUGGGCCAGAGGCCUCGAAGCUGUGGGAGGCCCCGCGCAUGCUGCAGGUCACUGAGUGAGGGGAUCAAGAAAUGUGAGGGGGGCUUGAGGUUCUUGUGCCUCAAAUACUGUCUGAGGGCCUGGCCCUCAGGACACCGGCCGGCUUCUUGUCUCAGGGCCAAGUCUUUUUUUUUUUUUUUUAAUGUCCUUUCCUUCUCCAUUCCCAGGGAAGGGCUUUCUGGAUGUUGCGUGUGAGUUGAUAGAAAUAUAUAGGAAGAUCGUUAUUUUUGAAAAAAAUAAAAAGAGCAAUAAUUUAACUGAAAUAUCGUGAGGCAGCACAGCAAGAUGCAAAGCGCACUGAGCUGGGAGCCAGAUCUCCUGGGUCCUAGCCCUGAUCAGACACUGAUGACGGUGUGACCUCAAGUUAAUAUCAUCACAUCUUACUUCUGGGACUCAGUCUCUUCCCUGAUAAUGUCCUCUAAGAACCCCCCUCCAGACGCCAGCACUCUGCGCCCCUGGGAAGUUGAGCCUCAGUGGGGCUCAAGGCCGAAGAAGCAGAGGGGAGGGCAGAUGGCAGCAAUAAUGGUAGAUCUAAGAAGGGGUGGGGGCAAUGAGAUGGAAAGCCAAGGCUCCCAGACCUUCUGCUGGAAUCCUGCCUCAGUGCUCUGUGCAGUUCUGCUUCUCCUGCUUCCUAUAGCCAGGGACCAGAGAGGCUGCCACAGGUGCCACUGUGCGCUCUCUCUCUCUCUCUCUCUCUCUCUCUCUCAUACACACACACACACACACACCACCCCCUGGUGUGCAGAUGGGAUCUCAGAGCACCAGGUCCCAGCCCCGGUUCUGUAACCCAGGAGCGUUCCUUGGGCCAGCAGGUGCCAAGCCCACCUCAUUCCCGGUGGUCACAGGGACAUGCCUCGAGCUGCCAGCUGCCCUUGUCUCCUGCGUGAACAUGCGUUGCACCCAGUGGUUUGGGAUGUGCCAUCUCUGGAUGGAGAACUGCAGCCCGCAGGGCCCCAGGCUCUGGCACGGCUGCCUCCCAACCUCAGCAACUUGCUUCCUCUCUCCCAGACUCUAUAGAAGGUGGUGACAAGACCCAUUUCCUCCCUACCUCACAGGAACAUGUUAUAAGGGGACUUCAUAUCAGACGUGCUGAGACGUGGCUUGUACUUUUCGAGACAAAUACUUGGUUUACAACUGUGAAGAGGGGCUUUCACCAGAGGAGGAACUCUCACUGCUGCAUUUGGUGGGCUCCUCUAGGCUGGUGCAGAAAGCCUGGUGUUCACCCUGAAGGUGGCCGCCCUGCCCAACAGGUGAUGGGGCUGACAACACCAGCAGAGCCAAGAACCGGAAUCUGUUCCCACAGAAUGAACACUUCAUCCCUCUGGCACAAAAGCAAGAGCAUGAGGUAGCUCUCACCAUCGUCCCCCCUGUUCCUAACGCAAACAGGCAAACAGCAUCGUAAGCCUCUGUGGCUAAACAAUGUAGGUGCAGGGAGGCUGGCGGUCCCUGUGAAUCCUCUUUCCCCCACGCCACACCCCCAAGUCAGUGCCAACUGCACUGGGCUGUUGUGGCCAGUCCAGCCUGGACUCCUGUAACUUCCCAUGGGAUCAGAGCCACACAUGACAAAGAGGAAACAGCAACCGUGGCUAUCCACAGGGGACCCAGGAAGUCAGGACCAUCCAGCAGGAGGAAAGAAUAAAGACCUUUAAGUCGGGCUUCUCAGGACUAUUGACAGAACAAAUGGGAAUUUUCAGGCUUACAAGGAGAGCAAGAUGCUACAAGACAGCAUAAUAUUAAGAAUAAGAAAUAUUAUAUAGUAUGUGAAUUACAUAUCAAUAAAAGUAUUUUUUGAAAGAA